CUUGCUUAAGGGAAGAUCGUGAUCGUGUUUGCGUAUCGAAGAAAAUCUAUAGUAAAAAUUGUUAUCGCGUAUUCGUCAAUUUAAUCGGAUUUUGAAAUUUAUUCGAUAGACAUUUAUCUAUAUUCGAAGAUGAAGAUCGAUAGGAGUUCGUAAUUAAAAAUUUAAUCAAUCAGAAUUUUGACACGUUAUGUGUGUAUUUGUAUCGUCACGAUGAUUUUUCCGAAAUAAAUUUCAAAAUCCAAAAGCAACAAUUUUUUCUUUUUUACGAAAAUAACAUUAUUCCCGAAGGUCUGAUUGAUCGUUUUUUUUUUUUCUAAAAAAAAAAACGUAUAUAUACGUAUAUAUAUAUUCGUAAUUCUAAUUCGUGAUUUGUAUUCCAAUGGAUCGUAAUACUACGUAACAAGAGGACGUACGAGUGAUUACAUUUAGCAAAUAAAUAAACGUGAAAGCCUUGUCUUACUCCUUCCUAACUACGUCAUCCCAAGCAUCUCUUUUCCAUGUGUUAAACGUGAAAAAUUUUUCUUAUCCCUUCUAUAAUAUUAAUUCACUAAAGUAUCCUGCGCAGGUGUGCAGACCGACGGUAAGUAGCGCAUAGAAGAUAUCUAUCGGCCGAUAGGAUCCAGAGAGCACAGUGCCUCGAAGCUGUUACGAGUCGGCACACGACCCUCUAUUAACUGUCCCAUAAACAGAUAAUCGUGAAUUACAUAAAACGAUAUGAUCGUACGACGAGGUCAGAUAAAGUCAAGAGUUAAGAGAUAUGGGAAUGAUCAUAUUCGCAUUUCUCAGCUCGUUCGAGUAACGUCUAGGUCUAGAUAUUAAUUAAGAAUGUAUCAUGAUAGAGAAUCGAUCUGAUAAAGUUAUAAAUAGAAAAUGAACAAUAGAGAUAGAUAGAUAGAUAGAUUGAUAGA